AAUGAACGUUGGCGGCAUGGAUUAGGCAUGCAAGUCGAGCGAGAAGUUUCCUUCGGGAAGCGGAAAGCGGCGAAAGGGAGAGUAACGCGUAGAUAUCUGCCCUCAGGUCUGGGAUACCCACCGGAAACGGUGAUUAAUACCGGAUAAUGUCUCAGGACCAAAGAUUUAUUGCCUGAGGAGGAGUCUGCGUCCUACUAGCUAGUUGGUGUGGUAAUGGCGCACCAAGGCUAAGAUGGGUAGCGGGCGUGAGAGCGUGGCCCGUCUCACUGGGACUGAGAUACUGCCCAGACAUCUACGGAUGGCUGCAGUCGAGAAUUUUCGGCAAUGGACGAAAGUCUGACCGAGCAAUGCCGCGUGCGGGACGAAGGCCUUCGGGUCGUAAACCGCUGUCAGAGGGAAGGAAAUUUUGACCAAACCUCAAAGGAAGCACAGGCUAAAUUCGUG
rnacentral:rRNA from 1 species